rnacentral:sRNA from 2 species
AAUAAUAAAUGGCCAAAUCUCGUAACGAGAACGGAGGACCCAAUCUUUUUGGGGUUAAUUCUGCAAAUGCAGAAGGGAUGAUUUUAAGCUUCUUCGCCAUCCUACCCGUCAGCUAACUUCGUCGGCUAAAGCGAAGGAGGUC